GUGUUAAUUAUAGUUCGGUCUUUUAAUAAUAAUUGAGCUCACUAGCACGAGAUUUCUAAGAGGUGCACAGUUGUGAGCAAACUCAGUGGACCUGCCAGACUUUCUAAAAUAAGUACUAGCCGAUUGCCCACUUCUGAGUUUAAGAGCCAGUGGCAGAAUUAUGCGGAUGAUUCCUGUGUUGCUUCUAGGAGACUGCCAAGAAUCAUGCAGCCUGCAAAAACUAGUUUCAGGAAAACCACAGUCUUCAUAGCAGUUUCAAGAAUACGUAUUAUAUACACGUUAAAUACAACACAGUCUGAAUUCAUGGUGAUCACCCUUUUUAAUUCCUUUAAAGAUGGCAUAUCCCUGGCAUACAGGAAGGUAAUGCCAGUGAAUCAGAAACAUGCCAGCAGGAGAAGAUUUGGUUCAAAAUAAGCCCCUGGGGCAUUUUGGAGAAAAUCACAUUUAAUCACGAUGACAGCGAUUUAAAAUAGCCUCUUUUCAUCGUACCAGUCUUCUACCUCAUAUCCACCUUUUACUAACAAGGCCAAGGAGUAGGUCAUUGACAAGAGACUUCUGUGACUUUAGUAGGAAACAGAUGUGGAAGUACUAACCCUACUUUUUCUGGCACCCGAACGGACAGUCUACGGGAGGGAAGUGACAUGGAGAAGCCAUGGGGCUGACUAUAAGAGUGAGCAGGUGCCAGCCGGGCAGAGCUGAGGGGAACGCCAGGCUCACUGGAUGACUGCAUGGGUGCUGUGUUCGGUAACAGGAGUCACCUGGUAUGAAGGAUAUGGAUUUGGGAGAAAUGAUCUUAUCAGACAACUUGACCUGAUAAACCAAAUGGAGGACUGCCUUAAGUCUGGUACCACCAAUCAAAACACAAAUUGGGAGAUUGAAUAACACAGCACUUCCAUUUAGAAAGGCACCUGAGAUAGCAGAGAAUAAAAUGAAACUAAAAAAUUCUUCUUCUCAAGAAGCUUCAUCCUAAUAGAGAUGGACAGUUAAUGAAGAAUGAAUAGAUUUUGUGCUGAGAACUCUCCUACAUCGUGCUGGUAGACACAGAUUCCAUGACUAAAUAACAGAGGACUUUUGCGUUUGUGCAAGUUCUCCCCUACAGAAGACAAUAAUGAUACAGGCAUUUAAACAAAGAGGCUUGGAUUGAGAAGAAAAAUAUCAACUACUGAAAUUGUCUAAGAGGAAGGAAAAAGGAAUUCAGAAGCUUAUGGAUGAAGAAGGAGCAAAAGGGAAUUCAGAGGACAUCCUAAUUAAAAAUGAAAAUGGAUCAUCACACAAGUAGCUUAUUAUGAGAUGUAAAACUCCAUGGAAAAUGAAUAUAAUCUUUCUCAAGCAGGGGAAACCUCACGCUCCACUCCCCGGGACCAGACCUCAGCCCAACCUGCCUCCAUUGCCUGUGAUUUGUGUGGAUGUAGAGCAAGUGGGGUUUGGAGGGGACCGUACACAGGGCUGCACGAAGACGAGAAAGAGGAGGAUGCUGACUGACCUUGGAAGGUGGCUGAAGCUUCCAGACCCCGGGUGUUAUCAGACAUGGCACAAGCAAUGAUCCAGGUAAAGGAUGCUCUACCAGCCUGGCUCCUAAGUGAAGACAAAGUGGAACACAGCCAUAGCUGAUCUGUGAUGGACAUGUAACAUGAGUGAAAAUAAACCACUGUUGCUUUU